rnacentral:rRNA from 1 species
CCUGCGGAGGGAUCAUUACCGAGUUAUUCAACUCAUCAACCCUGUGAACAUACCUAAACGUUGCUUCGGCGGGAACAGACGGCCCCGUGAAACGGGCCGCCCCCGCCAGAGGACCCCUAACUCUGUUUCUAUAAUGUUUCUUCUGAGUAAAACAAGCAAAUAAAUUAAAACUUUCAACAACGGAUCUCUUGGCUCUGGCAUCGAUGAAGAACGCAGCGAAAUGCGAUAAGUAAUGUGAAUUGCAGAAUUCAGUGAAUCAUCGAAUCUUUGAACGCACAUUGCGCCCGCCAGUAUUCUGGCGGGCAUGCCUGUUCGAGCGUCAUUACAACCCUCAGGCCCCCGGGCCUGGCGUUGGGGAUCGGCGGAGCCCCCCGUGGGCACACGCCGUCCCCCAAAUACAGUGGCGGUCCCGCCGCAGCUUCCAUCGCGUAGUAGCUAACACCUCGCGACUGGAGAGCGGCGCGGCCACGCCGUAAAACACCCAACUCUUCUGAAGUUGACCUCGAAUCAGGUAGGAAUACCCGCUGAACUUAAGCAUAUCAAU